rnacentral:rRNA from 1 species
AUUGAUCGAUCGGAGCUUGCUCCAUGAUUCAGCGGCGGACGGGUGAGUAAUGCCUAGGAAUCUGCCUGGUAGUGGGGGACAACGUUUCGAAAGGAACGCUAAUACCGCAUACGUCCUACGGGAGAAAGUGGGGGAUCUUCGGACCUCAUAUCAGAUGAGCCUAGGUCGGAUUAGCUAGUUGGUGAGGUAAAGGCUCACCAAGGCGACGAUCCGUAACUGGUCUGAGAGGAUGAUCAGUCACACUGGUGAGACACGGUCCAGACUCCUACGGGAGGCAGCAGUGGGGAAUAUUGGACAAUGGGCGAAAGCCUGAUCCAGCCAUGCCGCGUGUGUGAAGAAGGUCUUCGGAUUGUAAAGCACUUUAAGUUGGGAGGAAGGGCAGUGGUACCAGUAAGUUAAUACCUUGCUGUUUUGACGUUACCAACAGAAUAAGCACCGGCUAACUUCGUGCCAGCAGCCGCGGUAAUACGAAGGGUGCAAGCGUUAAUCGGAAUUACUUGUACCAUUGGGCGUAAAGCGCGCGUAGGUGGUUCGUUAAGUUGGAUGUGAAAGCCCCGGGCUCAACCUGGGAACUGCAUCCAAAACUGGCGAGCUAGAGUAUGGCAGAGGGUGGUGGAAUUUCCUGUGUAGCGGUGAAAUGCGUAGAUAUAGGAAGGAACACCAGUGGCGAAGGCGACCACCUGGGCUAAUACUGACACUGAGGUGCGAAAGCGUGGGGAGCAAACAGGUACCAGUGGAUUAGAUACCCUGGUAGUCCACCCGUAAACGAUGUCGACUAGCCGUUGGGAUCCUUGAGAUCUUAGUGGCGCAGCUAACGCAUUAAGUCGACCGCCUGGGGAGUACGGCCGCAAGGUUAAAACUCAAAUGAAGACGGGGGCCCGCACAAGCGGUGGAGCAUGUGGUUUAAUUCGAGCAACGCGAAGAACCUUACCAGGCCUUGACAUGCAGAGAACUUUCCAGAGAUGGAUUGGUGAAUGUCAGUCCUUCGGGAACUCUGACACAGGUGCUGCAUGGCUGUCGUCAGCUCGUGUCGUGAGAUGUUGGGUUAAGUCCCGUAACGAGCGCAACCCUUGUCCUUAGUUACCAGCACGUUAAGGUGGGCACUCUAAGGAGACUGCCGGUGACAAACCGGAGGGUGGGGAUGACGUCGGUACGUAAGUCAUCAUGGCCCUUACGGCCUGGGCUACACACGUGCUACAAUGGUCGGUACAAAGGGUUGCCAAGCCGCGAGGUGGAGCUAAUCCCAUAAAACCGAUCGUAGUCCGGAUGGUAGUCGGUACCAGUACGCAGUCUGCAACUCGACUGCGUGAAGUCGGAAUCGCUAGUAAUCGUGAAUCAGAAUGUCAAAAUUGGUC